AGGGGAGAUGUGCGAGCGCAGCGGGAGCGCGGUGGAGGAUCCGUGUCGGGCACGCCCGGGAGGAGGAGGGAGGGCAGCAGCGCGCGGCUCCCGCCGGAGUCACGCGCCGGCAGAAUUUUGUUUUUGCACUGAAUGUAGCCUGGAUUGAUCCUCACGGGCUUCAAGAGCCCAGGGAUACUAUCAAAGGCCGUAUUUGUGUGUUUCUGCAGAGUUUUGCACAGAUUCUGUUCCCAUGCAAACCGAUGAGGGAGAAAUAUUGGAAGAAAGCUGCUCGGAGGUGGGACAUGAAGAUUUGGUAAUGGAAGGGCAUGGCAAGACUCCGCCUCCUGGUGAAGAAAGCCAACAGUGAGUCAUGGUUUAUUUUGUGAAAGCGUCUUGUGACACAUUUUUGAAAUGCGAUUGUUAAGUCUAUGAAAAGCGUGUUUGGGGGGGCUGGAUGUGGGGGGAGUGUUUGUGUUGGUGAGUGCUCACCAGUGGCAGGGAGUGAGUGUGUUUGUAUUUACGGGCCUGCUAACCUGCACAAGGGAGAAAGCUGAGUUUUUCCCAUGGUUGACUAACCAGAAUUGGUAUUGUGUUUUAGCGAGGACUUCAUGGAUCAGAGUGUUCUAACCUGAGCCCAUGAACUUUGGUUUAGAUUACGGGUAGAAAUAGAAAACAGUGUGCCGUUUUCACCAGACAUGCCUGUGUGAAACCAGUCACCUGAGGAGGUGUUGGAAGAGCACUUCCUGAAAUUCUGUUCCGCUUAGUUAUGUGGCAAGGCUAAUCUUUGUCUUAAUAAUAAGACAUUUACAAUGAAAAGGAAUCAGUAUUAGAAGUGGUACCAUUUCUCUUAGAUAGCAUUUAGUGCAAUUCUUGGCAUCCCUUCUGUCUGUGGAACAAUUUGGCUUUAGAAAGAAGAGGGGAGCCCAGGGCGGUCUAUUUUCUAUGACAGGUGAGGUUUUCCCUAGUUAAAAUUGUAAGAAAUUCUACAGCAGAACAAACUGAUACUUUUGUGGAAGAAUAGUUAAGAUUAUUUCCAGAGGCCUGAAGUCACUACCAUAUGUUUCUGUUCAAAUGGAUGCUCUGAACAGUUUUUCUAAUUUGUAGAAUUUGCGGAAAGUCUUUCAAGAGAGGUCCUUCUCAUCUCCAGGUUAGUUUUGUUCUGUAGUGCUCAUCUAUGGGAGGUUAGUUUUACCUUGUUUUCUGACACUCUUUAAGAAAGAAGCACAGUCUGCUUCUACAGAAAAUUCAUUCCAUGGAAUUGGUUCUUUUUCUUGUGAGUAGAAACCUGGAUCUCUUCACAGCUUUAGCUUUCUAAAU
rnacentral:lncRNA from 1 species